UAAUACAGAGGGUGCGAGCGUUGUCCGGAAUCACUGGGCGUAAAGGGCGUGUAGGCGGCUGGAUAAGCCGCGUGUGAAAUCCCGGGGCUCAACCCCGGAACGGCACGCGGGACUGUUCGGCUAGAGAAUGGUAGAGGCAAGUGGAAUUCCUGGUGUAGCGGUGGAAUGCGUAGAGAUCAGGAAGAACACCGGUGGCGAAGGCGGCUUGCUGGGCCAUUUCUGACGCUGAGGCGCGAAAGCGUGGGGAGCAAACAGGAUUAGAUACCCUGGUAGUCCACGCUGUAAACGAUGGGUGCUAGGCGUCGGGGGGAGCGACCCUCCCGGUGCCGUCGCUAACGCAAUAAGCACCCCGCCUGGGGAGUACGGCCGCAAGGUUG
rnacentral:rRNA from 1 species